rnacentral:lncRNA from 1 species
AUAUUCUGGGUUUACUAAAUCCCGAGUUCUUUCAUGAACUUUAAUAAGUAGAAUACAAGUUAUCCCUCAUGUUCCUUUCUCUCUCUCAUUGUUUCUUUAUUGCAUCAGUGGAUGAUCUAUGAUGUUGUGUUUUCUCUUGCAGUGGUGAAUUUGGGAAUAUUGCUGAGAUGGCAUUGAGAGCAGUGGUGGAUACUGUGGUAGUAGAUAUGGGUGCUCAAUCUGGAGGUGAUCUAUCGUCAGGAACACCUCUCGCGAAAGUUUUGGCAAGAGUUGCACAGAUGGGGCCAACACUCCUUGGAGAAUCAAGCAAAUUCAGACAGAUCAUUCUAAAUGUACCAGAAGUUGAGCUCUUUUUUACUCUCAUAUAUUCACAGAUGCAGAUCUCAUAGGCUAGAAACAGACACUAGUUCCUUUUUAAAGUGAUUGUUCAUUUCCUUACGGAGGCAGCAAUGGAAAAUAUGCUAAUCGCAUUUUGGUUUUAAGUACUCAAAAGUCAGAAAUUUGAAAGGCAAUAAUAGAUAGAGAUUAGGAUUACUGCAGUGUGAUUUAUCUUUGUACUACUACGUUUCAUCUAUAAUCUUUUGUUGUACUGUACCAUCUAAUAUAUUAGAUAUAUGGUGUUUGUGGUACCAAAUAUGAAGUUGCAUCUUCGUCGUCUCUGUUACAUGCCUGAUCAGCUGAUAGUUCCAUGUAUUAUCUUUCAGCUUAAUGAGCAUAAAAUCUAUCUAUAAUGAAGUAAAAACACAAGUACAUUGGAGCAUCUUGGAGAUGGCAAAUGAAUCUCAGAUCAUGCUACUUGAACUAGAACCUCAUAAGUUACAGAAAACUACAAGAACUAGUACGUAAAAGCUGAUAACGAGUUACAAUUGGUAGUUCCAUGAUCAAGAAUCCUAACUGUCUCAGGAAGGACUGCACCAUGAUGAACUACAACUAAAACCCUAAACCCAACUGCAGCAUUCUGUGUUGAUUCAGAUUAAUUACUAAAAGUUUCUUCCCUCGUAUGUCUUCCCCAGUUGCCAACCCUUCGGGACGACAUUGUCCGACUGCACCAUUCGACCAUUCCUUGCGGUAACUUGGAAAGACAAGCUCUGCCCCUGUAACUUCGGCACUGUAUCGCCGACUACCUGCCAGUUUACCCCCCAAUUACGUUCCAUUUGUAUCCAAUCAGUCCUUGAACUCUUUAUCUUCACACCAACAACCUGUCCAUCACCACCAACAUUGUACACUAGCACAAGCAACCAACCUUGAUUUCCCUUCAACAGAAACCUAAUACCACCAUUCUUUCGGCACUUAACUCGGCGAUAGAGAACCGGCACAAUUCCUGCUUUGUAUUCUGCAAUGUUCAAGAACAUAGGCAUGGAUAGAUCGAAGUGCUUGCGAGGUUGGUUGCACCAAGGAGCUUUCUCAUCGUAGCUUGGAGGGCAGUAGUUGGUAGCUGUGACUCGGAUUGCUCCCGCACCGUUCUUACACCAUUUUGAAGAGUAACACACUAUUUGGAAACAAGCUCCGCAAGUACGUCCUUUGUUGAACAAUGCCUCGCUUAAUGCUGUUGUUUGAAGCCCGUACCCUUGUUUAAUAACAUUUUCAUAUCCACAAGCUCCCUCUGCCGUAGAAAACUCAAGCUACGUAAGUGUAGUUCAAGAGUUAUAUGAUUUGGUAAACUUUUUCUAAUUUCCAUUAGCCUACUUAUUUACAAGAUGAAAAGCAAAUAACAAAUAUGUGGAGAACUUACGUAAGGUUUCAUCACCAUUAAUAUCGCCGUAAAACGUUGCAGUAGCAUGCUGCCAACCACGCUGAAGGCCGGCUGCAGCCAUGCCUAAGUUGAGAACAACCAUCACUCUGACGAAACAGGACUGGAGAGCAGGCAUGUCAGCUUUAACAAAAGAUGUUAGUAGGGGCUAACUAAAGUUUGAAAUAGAACUUAUUCCAAACAAACUAGUAGCAUUGCAUGCUUAUAACAUACAUGGGAGAACGCAUUAGCAUCGGUGAUUAGUUAAACAAAAGUUUGAAAUAGAACUUAUUCCAUUGAUCUACUUAUUUAGUUCAGAAAAAAAAUUCAAAGUUUUGACUGAAUCCAUAAGACUGAUUUUUACUGCAUGCGUCAGUAAUAUCCAAUUGGCUUAAGUUUCUCAACAACUUCAAGCUUUAUUUUAGAUAAGAUGAAUUAUCUCGCACAAGAAUAAGAUGCUUGAAGGCCAUAACGUAGUACUGUCCACCGUAACAGAUUAUGACUUGGUAUCGCACAUAAGAGAAUGAGAAAAUUCAUGUACAUCGCAUGAAAAGCGGCUUACAAAUACAAUCUAUCAUUAGUUUGAUAGUGUGCCUGAAACCUCUCAGGUAAUUAAACAUGAAAGAAUUAACUCAUGCAAAUGAAUCGAAGGUUUCCAUCGGGAUCUUUUAUCAUGAGAUGUUGGAGAUGAACUAAUAUAUGAUGCAUUCAGUCGAAAUUUGGAUUGAAUGCUACUAGAUAUGACUGAUAUAUUUACUGCGUUAGCUACCUCCAUUGGCUUUGCUUGAGACAGAUUGCCUGAUCAGUUUGAUAUUUUACAUUCACCUAGCCUAUACUAUGAAGAACAUAUUUCUAGUGUGGAUUAGAAAAUGAAUUGAGCCAACUGACUAUGUACCGGACAUAUAUAGUUUUAAUAAAUUUAAUUAAAUCUGCCGGACAUGAUUGAAAGAUUUAAUUACUUGUUUGUCUAAUAUUAUCUUAAGUUUCUCAACAAGCUAAACGAAUCACUCGCGUAAAUUAGUGAUAUAUUGACAUGUCUAUAUAUCAUAAAUUUACAAAAUUCUUGAAACAUUUGCAAUGAUAUUAAAAUCAUAGCUGGAUUUCAUCUCUGCUCCCCAAGAUUAAUGAUCUCAACUGUUUAAUUUCAUUACUUCUAGGGAUAUACAUUAAGCUGUCACCAUGCAUUUUUGGCUCAUAUAUACUCAAAUAAAUCAUCUAGCUAUAUAUGUAGUCCUGUUAUAAAAUGGAAUGAAAUACAAAUACAAUCAUAUAUAUGGAAUCCAUUGGUUAAUUUCUGAGAUGAGUUUUGACCCAUGAAAAAUGCAUCAUAGUUUGAUCAAUUAUUUGGUAGCUAGUGAUUGAUAUAUAUGCAACUGCAUGUCUUCUCAGCAAGCAAGUAUCAGUUGCCUCUAAUUUGUUUGGAAAUGAAUUAUAUAUGCACAAGAAAGAACAUGCAGCUUAGAUCUCACCGCCAUCACCAAGAACAUAUUGUAGCUAGGAGAAUGGGAAAGCUCAUGGAAGCUGUAUGAAAAUGUUCUACUGGUGCAAUCACGAGUAGUCGAGUUUGGUUGUCCUAAAACCUCUCUCUUACCCGUUCACAAAGCUAUGUCUAUAAAUUGUUUUUCACUGUAUUUUGUUGUGUGAUGUUGGAGAAACCAAUCCGAUAUGGCAAAGCAAAAAAGACUAGCUAGUAUUCUCACAUUAUUCAAAAUACGUGAUAUUUGGGAGAUCAAAAUUAAUUUGUGUACGUAUUAAAAACAAAGUUGUUAUAUGUAGAGAAAUCAAAAGAAUUUAGAACUUGACCAUUUUUUACUAUGAUAUGUUUGCUCGAUUCAUAUAGUUGUUAGUUGUAGUCAGUAAUAUACAUAAGUACGUACAAAGUCUCUUAACAGUUUCCACCGAAACUGAAGACUUGAUAAGAUGAAUACAUAUGACAACUCUAUAUGACACAGAGCAAGAAACGACGAAGAAUACGCUCCAUCUUCUUAGGAUGAGGAGGAGGCGUCUGUGUUCGGCACCUGCAUUUUCUCUAAAAAGAAUGGCUUCCCCGCCCCUCUUUGCCUUGUAAUUAUUGCCGGUCGCCAUUUUUGGCUGGAAAAAAAAAAAUGUUACGAAUUGGGCCUAAGCGGGCUAAGCGGAUAUGAGCCGUCUCUAGGCGGUUGAUGCGGGGUGAGUCUCUACGGGAAGGGGGUCCAUCAUUAAAAGAAGGAAAAGUAAAAAAUUAGUUGCGAAUUGGGCCAAAGCGGGCUAAGGCGGAUAUGAAGCACCGCUAGGCAAUCAAGCCAUGAUGGGCCUAUACGGAAAGGAGGGGUCCACCAUUAAAAAAAUGAAAAAUUAAAAACAUAAUAAAGGAGGAGUCAUCGUCUCCCCGUCUUCAAUGCGUGUCUCAUCUCUCAUGCAGGCUAGGGCAAAGGAGAAGAAGAAUCGAAAGAUUGUGAAUUCGGGGACGAUCGACUUGUUCACCUAAAGCUCGAUCAAGACUGACAAGACAUAAUUGUGAAUUGCCUACGAUGAGAAUAAUGAGAUUGGAAACUGGGAAUCGAAGAAAAUUUAAGAAUUAGAAGAAGAAUUGACAGGUAAUUGUGAAUGAAAAUGGGGAAGAAGAAUGGAAAGAUUGUUUUGAAUUCGUGCGGAGACAACUUGUUUGGUUCUGGGUCAUAAUCUCAAGACAUAAUUGUGAAUUGAUUUCCAAAUUCCUACAAUGAGAAUGAGAUUGGAAACUGGGAAACAAAAGAAGAAGUAUUUACAUGUACGUACAGUCUGCAAAAAAAUUUAGCAUGAGCAAAACACACGUAAUAUCUACGUUAUUGAUGGCCUAUCAUCAAGAGUAUAUAUCGUAUAGACUUCAUCUAAGAUGGAACUAACAAAAAUAACUAUAUGUAUAACGAGAUUGGCACUUGGUAGAAUUAAAAGCAGUAGUCACAGAUUGUGAUCCAUUCUGCAAGGGAACCUGCUUCAAGUCACAUGUGAACAUAAGAGAGCAGCUCUCGGAAUCGCGCCUCCACCAGGUGACGGUCUUGAACGUCUUUGGAAAGUAAAGCCUGAUCAGAAUGUCGUAGUGAUUCCCUUUCCCGGACCACGCUGCAUCAUCAGUGAUGCUAGUAUCCCGCUGCAGUUUGAACGACGGCGUCAGAAGAGUCAUGUUCUUUGGCGGUUGCUGAAAGUCGGCAAUGUUGGCCAAAGAAGACGUGUUGUGGUAGUCUGCGACGAUUUGACCCUUGUCGUAGUCGAUGCCGAAAUACUUGUUGGGGUUUCGAAUGGUGAUGUUGAGCUCGAGAUUGUAGUAGUUGUUGUUGGAGGAGGAGUUAGUUAUGUUGAAGUACUCAUCGGUGAGGGAGGCAUGAGUUACAGCCAUCUUUAUGUCAUCUGGUCUGAAAUUACGGAUAUCUGGGAUAACUUCCCAAAGUAUAAAAAAAACGAGUGCGAUGACGGCGAUACAAAGGAAACAGCAGGCGGUCACGAUGACAGGCGGGUCGGAAUCUGUACAUAUAUUGUAACUCUUAAUUAGUCAUAAGUAACUUGAACUCGCUAGCUAGAGAUUUAUAUGUGCAGAUUAACAAAUUAGAUAUGUUAAUUUGCAUAAUGAAGAACAUGACAUAAGCGAUUAAUUAUUUACUACCUUGAUCAUCCAUGGUAGAUCUUCUCCGCUAUUCAAUUGAGCGUACGUGCAGUUCUUUAACUUGGAGCUAAUAAGAGUAUGACUAGUUUAGCGUUUGGUAGCGUUAGGACCUAGCUAGAGGAAUAUAUAUAUAUAAAUGUAACUUGGAUCCGGACAUUAAUCCAUAUCCUCUCUUAACAAUGAUUUGAAUUAGGCUCACUGGCCGGAUUAGGACUUAUAAUCUGAAUACGUAUAUGAAAAGAACGGGUUGUUGAAUGUAAUCCAAAUUCAAAUUUACAUGAAUGGUAUUAUGGUAACAUGUCAUCUAGGACUUCUCUUUCCAACUCGGCCAGAUACUAGCGAUCUUUGCUGCCGAAGUCGAUUGGAACUUGUUUCGACGAUAGAGCACGAAAACAAUAUCGUAAUCAGCUGUAUCGUCGCAAUGGUUAAGCAUGCAAAGAUCCUCAGUCCAAUCAAAUAUCAUCAGUUGUUGUCCUUUCAAACUGGCAGUGUCAUUUCAGUUGUGUUCUUUCACCCUAGGUAAAAAGAGCUCAAAUUCGCCAUGCCAAACCUGUGCUUCUUGUAUUAAGCUAACACUUGAACAUUGUCAUAGAAGAUUUUCGUUUGUUAGUCGGGGUUAUUUGUGAAAAAGCAAAUUAAUUAGUAGCAUUGCAUACUUAAUUAGAGAACGUGUAUAGGAGAACGCUUUAGCAUCGCUGAUUAGUAAAAGAAAAGUUUGAUAAACAACCUAUUCGAUCGAUUGGUCUACUUAUUUAACUAGUUUAUAAGAAAAAAAAGACUCAAGAUUACGACUGAUCAAUUUUACUGUGUUAGCUAUAUCCAUUAUAUCUAUGUACAAGCAAAUUAGCAGUAUUGCAUCAGUAUCGUUGAUUGGUUUCAACAAAUCUGACCAAAUCCUACUAAAUGUCGGAUAUAUGCGUGACUGAGAAUUACUUGGCCGGCUAUUCCAUUACCUUAUGUUUCUCAACAACUUCAAUAGAUUACUUGUGUAAAUUAGUGAACAGUUAAUUGUAUAUGCAAAUUGCAAAGACAAUAAAAUCGUAGACAACAUGAUCUCAUGACUGCUAGCUCCUCCGAUCCAAUAUUAAUACUCUCAGUUAUUUAACUUCAUUAUAAUGAUAAUGGAAUGAAGUACAAAUAAGAUCGAUCUUAUAGAAUCUAUUAAUUGGUUUGUGAGAAUAUUUCUGACUCGGGCAAAAAUUACAUAUUUGGUAGUGAUUGAUGCAUAUAUUAGGCUUCGCAAAACGUCUUCUGAACAAGUAUUAGUUGUCUUUAACUAGUUCAAAAAUGAAUUAUUACCACAACAAUCUAAAACAGGCUUAGAUGCCAUGACUGGCAUCACUCAUAACAGACCGGCUAGUAUCACAAUAGGGAAAGUUCACGAAAGCUGUAUGAGGAUGAUCUACGAAUACAAUCACUAGUUUAAUUUGGUUGUCUACUUGUCUUUUAAAACCUUUAUCUUUCCGAGUCCACAAAGCUAUGCCUAGCUCGUUAGUUUGGUUUCCAUUCCCCUAUAACUAUCUUUUGUUGUGGGACGUUGGAGAAACCAAUUGGAUAUGGCAAAACAACAAAGAUACUCCGUAUACAUUCUUUGAUCGUUGUCAAUGGAACUGAUUCCCAUAUCAGUCCAUCAAGCUGCCCAUCAUACAGCUAUGCUUGCCAAGCAAAGUGGGGAUCCAUUGGGAUGGGCUGAAGAGAAACAUAUCUCCAUAUGGCUCUAAUCUCCAAAAUGAUUGAUUCUCGUGCCAUUUGUCUUUAACGACUUAAAUAGCGGCUGUGGAUAGUUUCUUUCCAUAUUAAGGUUUUUUCGUUUUGCUAUCUCUUUAAUUUAGUGCAAGGAUUUCCAAUCCUUAUACGUGUUUGUACUUUGGGCCUCUAGUUAGGGCUCCGUUGAGCUUCAUCUCCUAAUGAAUUUCUUAUUUCCAAAAAAAGAAAAAAAAAACAAUAAGAGAAUAACCAACUCAAAAUUCAACAUAUGAUGCGUAUCAAAUUUGCAUGGUAAUUUACCACACAGAAUUUCUAUUGCAAAUAACAUGGUGGAAGUGGAAGUGUGUGAAACUAACCUCAUUUGUUAGCAAAUUCAAACAUUAUUAUAGGUUUCAGCUUUAAAUUUCUAAUAAUAUCCACUAGAUUACGCUAGAAUCUCAACAACUUCGAUCAAACCUUAAGCUUGUUCAUUAUGUAAUUUCUUCAACUGAUUCGAUCAUGUCAAUAUUACUCACAAAAGAUUUUGUUUGAAAAUAGGCAUCAAGCUGUUUUAUCAUAAGGAUUAAUAACUAGUCGAAUUGGAUCACAAUUUGCAACUCCUUUAAGAAUUAAGACGAAAAAGAUGAGCCAAACUCAAAACUAAUGGGAAGAAAAACAACCUAAAACACGUCCUAACCAAAUUUGUAAUAAGAUAGAUCAACAUAUGUACAUGAGAAAAUUACAUAGUAGCACAUGACUAAAUUUAAAAACACAAAAACCUACUUGUAAUAAUUUUUAUACAAAUUAGGACAUGGGCCUCAAGCCCAAAACCAAAUAAUAGCAGACCUGAUCCAAAUGACCAAAAUGUUAUAUUUCCUAAUAAAAUUACACCAGAUACCACUCUCACUCCGUUUCCUUCUCUCAUUCCAACGUUUUGAUUCUUCUUCUUCUUCUUCUUCUUCUUCUUCUUCUUCUCUCUCUCUCUCUCUCUCUCUCUCUCUCUCUCUCUCUCUCUCUCUCUCUAAUCUACCANAUCAUCUCAUCAUCACAUUCAUCAUGCUCUCUUCUCUNUCUCUCUCUUNAUCUACUAGUAUCUCUNUCAUCACAUUCUAUCCAUGCUCUCUCUCUCUCUCUCUCUCUCUCUCUCUCUAGCAGAUCUCAUCAUCACAAUUUCAAUCCAUGACACGAUUUGAUAUGCCGCACCUCCAUCACCACACCUUCAUCUUCCAUGGCAGCGAGCGCCUUGAACGACGAACUCAUCGUCUUGUGUCACCAGACAUGGCUGCCGAUUGUGUCUAAGGAGUCGACCGGCAUCGUGGAGAAGACCGUUGAUAUCCUUUCGCGAUAAUGUGGGGAGGAGCUUGCCCUAAAGACGGAAUCUGUCGUCGGUCGUGUUUUUAUCGACAGCUACAAGGUGGUGCUGCUAUUGUCUUUAUUUACCUACAAGGCGGUGCUGCUACUGUCCUUAUUUGCCUGCUACAAGGCGUUGCUACUGUUUGGACAGAUGAUUUCACUGCUACUGUUUGGACAGAUGAUUUCGCUGCUACUGUUGGAAAGGUAAAUUUGCUGCUAUUGUUGGAAAAGUAAAUUUACUGCUACUGUUAGAGAGAAUUUGCUGCUAUUAGAGAGAAUUUUUUGCUAUUGGUCAGAAAGUUAAAUUUGCUGCUAUUGCAAGAUCUGUGGGUAAAGUAAAUUUGAUGCUACUGUUUAGAUAUGUUGGAGGGAAUUUGCUGCUACUACAAGAUUUAUUGGGAGGGUUAAUUCGCUGCUACUGUUUAGAUCUAUUGGAAAUGUAAAUUUCGAAUCUAGUAGCAGCAGCAGUAACAGCGUCCUAUUAUUAGGUAGUAGCAGAUUUCAAAGUUGGCAUCCAGUCGGCAGUAGCAGCGACAGGCAUCCUAGUCGACAGUAGCAGCAGUAGAAUAUGUGAUUAAGGGUAGUUUCGUAAAAUGUGUAGUGACAGAUAGCAUGUGGACAUCAAUUUGUCCUAAUUUGUUAAUUUUUGUCCUUAAAUGUGUAAGAUAUUAUGUAAAUGAUGUAUUUGUAAACUGAAAUUUGAUUAGUAACUUUAUAGUAAUUUACUAUAUGUACAUAUUUUACAAUCAUAAUGUACGAUUUUACAAUUAAUCUUGACAAUUCUGUAAAAACCAUUGGGCUUAUCACAAUACAGAAUGAAUGUAAGGAAAGCCCAUAACGCCAAUAUAACUAAACGUCGUCUAAAACGGGUCGGGUUCAAACGGCGCGCUUCAGCUCACCACUUUUCCCUCUCUCCCCAAAAUCCCCAAAACUCUCUCCGGCACUCCCCACAGCUCACAGCAAUGGCUAACGCCACCGCCACCGGCGCCGCCAGCAACGAAAUCUUAAUGUUAGAAGCUCCGCCGCAAGGCCCGUCGUGGCCUGGCCCCUUAACCAACGCCGAGAUCAUCGACGCCUUGCCGUACAUCGACGAAGACUACUACUCCAGCGCCGCCGUCAAGAACGAAGUCGACCUCAUGGUGGAGGAGGAGCUCCGUCGCAGCUCCAAAAAGCCUGCCGAUUUCCUCAAAGACUUGCCUCCGCUCGCCAAGCCCGAUUUCAAGGUCAGUAACACACACACAGCUCUCGCUAGGGUUUCAAAUUUCGAAUUUAUCUCCUAGGGUUUUGAAUAGCUUUGUGAUUUCAAUUUGAAUGGACUCAGAAUAAUCCAGUUCUGGCGAGAGAGUACGACCGCGUGAGAGCUUCAAAGCCUCCGGUGAUUCUUGAUUUCUCGAGAGAUAAGGCGGAGAUGCCGAAGAGGAGUGAUGAAGCUGCUUGGAGGCAGGCUCUUCAGAAAGCUCAGUGCUAUUCGCAGCACAAUGUCAUCAGGUAAUCUAAGUCUGAGCAAUGCGUAUCGAUAUGAAUGCCUUGUAUUGGAUUGUGUAUUUAUAUGUUUGACUUGGAUUGUGAUGGAUUGAGUGACUGGUUUUCAGGUUGGAGAAUUUGGAGCUGAUGGAUAAGUAUGGCCCUGACGCCUGGAUUAAGUACAACAAUGUUUUGCAAUCGCUUUUGUCAAGGUUUGUGUUACUAUUUUUGGUAUACGAAAUCGGAACUUUGGAUUUACUCGAUCAUAAUAAUUGUGUAGAUUGAUAUUCUCUGGAUGAGAGUCUGUCACUUAUGACAUAUUGAAGUUUAACUAUGUAUUUUUUUUUUUUUUUUUUUUUUUUUCCUUGCAAACAAGUACUAGUUUCUUGCAACAUGCAUUUGAUAGUACUUGACAUGUCCAUGCUGUUAUUUUACAAUUGCAUUGAUCUAUGCAGAUUGCAGAAAUUAACUCAUGAGCGCUCUCAAAUGAUUGGAACUGUGAAUCGUGAAAGGAAAGAACAUCAGGUGAUUCAACUUUCUUACUCUGCAUCCCUUAUUUGAUCUAGAUGCUUUCUUGUAGUUUGAUUGGUGAAUUUAUCUUCAUUGUUGAGCAGCAAAACACUGCAUAUGAGCUUAAUGCUUUGCACGCACAAUGGAAGGAACUUUCUCUGAAGAACAUAGAAAUUCAAGCCGCGUGUGCUACUCUUGAGAAUUGCAUAGAUGAACUCAAAAAGGAAGCAGCAGAGAGGUAAUCUUCCAUUUCCUUUCUGGUAUAUUUUCUCUCUCAUUGAUUUGUUUAGUUUGCAACUAAUUGGUAAAUACUGAUUUCAGAGGCUGGGACUUCAGACCAACGGAGAAUGGCUUGUUGAAUUCUGAAUGAGGAGGUAUGCUUUGAAUCAGAUUUGGUGCUACAGCUCUGUCAUCAUGUGUCUUUGUUUUUUUAAUAUAGUUCAGUGUUGUUAUUCAAAUUGUCACCUACAUAGGGUCCGGAAAUGAUAUGUAAUAUUAUGUUUCUUCAUGAUUAUGUUGGAAUUUUUUCCUUUGGGUUUCAAAUGUAAUCUUAAAGAAUUGAUUGUUUGCAUCUCCCAGUCAAUGGAUCUGUCCAACCUAUCCAAUCUUACAAGUUUGCUUUCCAAAUCUUGAAGAUUUAGUUCUUUCUUUUUCAUUUCUUUCCUUAGGCGAGUCAUUGGGAAAAUAGUAGUACCAUAUACCUAAAUGGUACAGUGCUAUUGUAUAUGAUGAUACUUCAUCUGCAAGGACAUGACAACUCUAAUGUUAGAUGUCUAGGUCAUGCCUAUAUGGUACAUUGUUGUGGCUCAUCCAUUGCAAAUAUAAUGAACAACUUUUACUUAGUGUGAAGAAGGUCUCUCUAGAUCCCUUUAGCAGUCCAGGAUCCACAAUGUGAACACAGAAGUUUUUUGUUGUCACCUGACAACUUGGCUAUGUUUUUGCUCUCAGAAAUAAGGAUAAGAGUAAAAUUCAUGAAAGGUUUAUGGCUCUAAGUUGCUUAAUAUUGGAAGUUGGCCUUGGUUUGCAUUUGAAGUUUCGUGAUGAGUUUUAAUUACUCACUAUAUGCUUUUGAGAAUCAAGCUUCUAUAAAUCUAUAAUGACCAUAGUUGAUGUUGAGACCUUCUGUCUUAAAUGAAGCAGUGCUAAUGCACAUGUUAAUUAGGAUUAUGACAAGUUUUUGAAGUAUUAAGGUACUGAUAUGAUAAUACAGUCUGAUGGCUUAUUUGACCAUUAGAAUUGUAAACAGGUUCUGUUUGAAGACAUGGAAGUUGGAAUUACGCAAAUGUUAGCCUUGAUUCACAUAGCUGGAAUGGAUACAGCUUUCUGGAUGAGUGGCUGAUAUGUUAUGUUAUUGGCUAACUCGGAGCUUUUCUUAGUUGUUCCAAUAUGUUAUCGGCUUACUCGGAUUUUUCUGAAUUUAGCUGUAAUGAUCUCAAAGAGCUUAAUGGAUCCUGUGUUGUUGUCACCACUAGGUCAUGUAUCAAGACCAUAAUACAUGAAGUAUUAAUAUGAAGGGUUUCCCAGCUUCGAUAUCCUUGUACGUAGGAAGCAGAAUAUGGUUGCACAUUGUAUUGAGUGAUCUUAUAAUUCGUUUUAUGAAAUGUAGUGCUUUGACAUCUCAUCAGUUUCAGUGACAUAACUCGGUUUAAAACGACGAGCCUCUGAAAUAACAUACAAUCUAAAUGCAUGAUUUCAUUCUUAAUUUCUUAGUCUCAGAGAGCCAACACCACAAGAUCAUCAAUCUACAGUCUAAAAAUCGAGUUUAUCCCAGUUUUUACAUCAAAUCAUUCAUAUGAACAUUAGGCUUGGAUUCUGUCUAGUAUGGUUGAUAUUUAUGAUGAUGCGGUUGUAGCAACCUUGAUGAAGACAUCCUCCAAAGUAGUGUCAGUGAGUCCCCAAGCAAACACCCUGAAUUGCCGUUUUGCAGCCUCCACAGAUCGGAAGACACCGGCGAUAGUGACCUCAUUUCUGGGCAGCUCAAACUUCUGUGUCCCCGAGAGUUGGUAUACCUUGUUGGCACUGGGUGAUAGUGUCCGAACCAUCUUCUCAACUUCUUUCUCAUGAUCCCCACUUGUGGUCAUUGUGAAGAUGUACGAUCCUCCAUAUCUAGCCUUCAGCUGCAGUGAGGAGUAAAGGAGGGUAGGAAAAUAAGUUGAGGUCUUGCAGUUCUACUAUAUUGUAGUUAUGAACUAUACAAGAUGAACUUUUCGAGUUUGACUUACCUCUUUCGGAUUUCCUAUACACUGCAAUUUGCCAUCCACGAAAAUUCCUAGUCGAUCACAGAGGACCUCUGCCUCUUCCAUGGAAUGUGCUGAAGAUCAUAUGCAAACAAGCAUGCUUUGUGAGUGAAAUAACUAAAUAGGUAAAGAUCAUUCAUUGCAAUUCACACAGUGAUAACUAUAUAAGACUCGAAGACAGGGAGGACAUAACUGGUUAAAAGGAUUGCUCGCUCCUGUUUUGCAGCCUUUACAACAUGCCAUAGAUGGUUUCUUGAAGCUGGAUCUAGUCCACUACUAGGCUCAUCCAUGUAGACAACCUGCACACGAAAUUUCACAGUACACUUGGUGCAACAAGUACAGUAUGUAUCUAGUCUUCUAGGAUAAUACACACUAACAGUCACAUAGUCAGAGAUCAGAGUGAUCAAACCUAAGAGAUAGAGCAGGCGAGCAGCAUGUUAAGACAUACCUUCGGAUCCCCUAUUAGUGAAAUUGCGACGCUAAGCCUCCUCUUCAUACCUCCACUAUAUUUCCCAGCCUGUUUGUCAGCAAGUCCACCAUUGAACAGAUUAACACUCUUCAAAGACUCUUCCACAGCCUGAUCAGCAAUCAGAAUCAGGUAAACAAACUAAGCUCAAGAUUUGACAGUUAACACUUUACAUUUUACAACGACUAUAUUUUUACUAUGUAAGAAUCGAGUUAGAAUGUACAGGAUCACUUACUUUUAUUAAGGCAGAACCUUUGAGAUUCUUAAGUCUGCCAUAAAACAGCAAAUGCUCCCUUCCAGUCAGGCUCUCCCAUAGUAAGCUAAAAAUAUCCGAAAAUCAUGAAAUUUGUUUCAAAAUAAAAGAAACCUAAACCCACAAAAAAAAAAAAAAAAUUUUUUAGGAGUGAUUGUAGUUUCUAGGCUAGCUUACUCAUGCUGUGGACAAACCCCCAUGCUGGUAUGUAUUUUAUCCAUUUGUGUCCAAAUGUCCAUACCAUGAACAUAUGCUGCACCGGAGCUUGGUCUAGUCAGACCAAUCAUCUGCAUGUUGACAGAAAACAGAGGUUAAAUGUAGUUUCUUGAUUGAACUAGAUAGCAAUAACUAGUCAUUGAACAACUUGAGAUUUAGAGAGUACAUGAAUAACUGAUAUAGGAGUUUACCAUGCUAAUAAAAGAGGUCUUCCCUGCACCAUUGGGACCAAGCAUGCCAAAGCAUUCCCCUCGCGUCAAUGCAAGAGACAACCCUUUCACUGCAAACUUCUCAGGGUUUCCAUCUCUUCCUGGAUACACCUUUUUCAGGUCAUGGCAAAGGAUCGCGUGACUUGUACUAUCUUGAUCCAAUAGCAGACUCUCAACCUUUUCCCUCUGCAAAUUAAUUGAGCAAUUGUAAGGGGAAGCGAUGUACAGCUAUGCAACUAUUCAUUUUGAUUCAUAGUGAAUGACAACAAAAUUCAAAUAAGUGACAUUUACCUCUUGAGUAACAUCAGGUUUGUCCAUCUGAAUAGAAACAGUAGAUCCCUGCCCCUGUGCAUUAGGUGUCCUAGUCCUAAGAGAUGAGGGAAGUUUUUUCUUCUUUCCAAAGCAGCUUUGCAAGAAAAAUAGAGGACCUUUUCCACUUACAGAUGCUGUAACUUUAUCCAAGUUAUAUGCAAUAAAAAUCAGCACAAACCACUCCAUGAACAUGAUAAUCAAGAUUUCUCUCAUCCCACUCUUGCUGUCUCUCAAAUCUCCCCAUCGCAUCCCAACUGUCCCCACUGUGCCUGCUUCAGUGGCGAAUUCUGCUAGCUCGUAUAGGCCACGAUACAGAGACAAGCCAGGAUACAACUCAAGAACAAUGAUCCAGUAUCCUACAUAUGCACAAGAAUAGGUAGAUAUAUAAUUAAAAAAGUGCAGAAAAGAAAGCAGAUUGACUGAUUCAGUGACAAAACAUUUUCAUUAACUAGUAUUUCCACUUACUAGGGAAUGAUGGAUCUCUUAAAAAGACUUCAAAAAGUUCAUUUCCUAAAAGCCCGGUUGCAAAGACCAGUAUGUAACCUAUAACUGUAAUCAUCCAAACAAUUAUAUCAAUGAAGAAGAAAGCCUACUUUCAUAUUAAGAAAUUCACUGAAUCAAUACACUAAACAUAAGGACACGAUGAUCAAACGGAUCCAAACCUGUACAAGCCUUUAAGUUGGAGAACAAUGCAGCUAUCAGAAAGGACAUCGCUAUUUGCAAAUUCAUAUAGAAGAAGUAGAAAACAAACUGGAUGGUGUAGUCAUUUAGUGUGAAAAUCUUUAGCCCUGUAAUAAGUAAUCAUCAACAAAUGAUUUAAUCAAAUUCAAACAAGUUAAGUGAAGUUAGACUAGCUAGAACAGCAGUACCUGUAUGCAUACCUAUAAAUGAGCCAGAUAUAACAAGACAUAGCAUGUACACCACAGAUACUGUAAGAAAAUAGGCAUAGGUAAUCAUCCAAUAGGGUCCAUCACCAAGUCCAUGCAUUUUCAUCAUGAUUCUGAGUUUUUGUUGUUUCUCAUACACCAGAGACUUCAUCACAACCUACGAGUCAAAUUGGAAACUUAAUACGAACUUAAGGGAAACUUUACUUAACAUAAGUAGUUGUAAGCUUGAAGCUUAUUAAUAUAUAUGGAGAAGCAGUGAAUGCUCUUACAGGGAAGAGCAGUAAGAUAAUCCAUGUAUAUAAGAUUGGACCGAUCAUAGAGGCAAAAUCUGGCAGCUGUACUGGGGUUUCAUGCUUGGGCAUUUCUUUGACAAAAUCAAGCUGCAUUUUUGUUCCAUAACCUUUCAAGAACCGUAGGUAGGCACUAGAGGCCUGUGAAUAAUUUACAUAGAAUUCACAAAUAAGUCGAAAAUAUAUAUACUAAUUCCUAGCAGAACAGGGAAGUUCAACUCAAAAACCCAAAAAGCCAAAAGAAUGGGCUUGUGUUUAUACCAGAUUCACUGCACGCGGAAGCCGCAGCAAAAUAGAAUCACUCCCAGUCAAGCUCAUCAAUGUAGCAUCACUCUCAUUCCCCUGGUCAGCAUCAACUUCGAAAUAUUUCAAGCUUGAAUUGUACCAUAGGCUCACAUUGAAAUUAUUCUUAUCUGAGUUAGAGAAAUCAUAGGCUGCAUUGCAAGAAAACACACUAUGAGUGUCAGUAGUACUAUUGCCCCUAAAUGAUACUAUCACAUAUUGAUAUAUUCAUCACAUCCAACAAUUAGUAAGUUGAAUGUUAGCAGUACCUCCAAGCACUUCAUUAAUCUUCCCCUCUGAAUUCCCAUUUCUGUAUCCUUUAUAUAGCUCAUUGUUUACCUCCGUAGAGGUAUUGCGCCACAAAGGCAACCCUUCAACACAUUCAACGGCUAGAUUCGGUCGAAAACAGCAUAGUUAGUUAAGGAAAGCUGUUUAGCAUAAUGCACUGAGCACAACAAAGCUGAAGAACUACUCUGUAAAUCUUUUUAAACAGUCACGUACAUAUAUUUUGCUGCAAAUUUGCUUCUCGAAUUGGAACAACAAAUGAAGAAUUUGGGGAGCAGUGGCGCUGCACAUUAAAGAUGAUGGCCUCAUCACGCUCAAACCCAUCAUAGUCACCAAACAUAUUCCCUUGAGGCGAGAAAUCUGAACCCUUUACAAUUAAAACAUAUUGCAACACAAGUCAAUGAUCCAACAUAUACGCACUAUAAUGAAAAUAAGAAAUAUUGUCAAAUAAUCACCAUGACAUUAUGAGCUAUAUAUUCCAUGCCAUCACCAGAGGACUUAGGCAGGGGAGAAUUCGACAACAUAUUCCCAGCCAGAGCUGUAUAACAAAUGCACAUCAGAAAAUCACUAAUGAGGCAAUUAACUACCAGACAAAACAAAUCAAUCAAAUCAUGUAAUUAUUUUGGUACAUACUUUCACCUAAAGACUGAUUAUUCCCAGUAAGAAGUAGUGUUACUGGGCAGGAGUAGUGGCCUCCUUCCCUGCUCCUGCAUGACUCAUCCGGCAAGUCAGCUGGAAGAAAGUUACUUCUUACUGCACGGUAAUCGGGGGAUGGUAACACCAACAAUGGAGCCCAUUCUUGAGGGUGAGGUAUGGCACAAUUGUCUGAUAGCUCGGAUAUGUUUGACGAUCCACAAUUGGUUGUUGGUAACUGUUUAACCUGUUUCUCCGCUUGGUUCUGUAAAGUUUGGAAGACAGCCAAAAUGAAGAUGAAGAAGCAAGGUAUUAAAACCAGGGUGACAUUGGAGCGGAUGUUUCGUUUCUGCAAAAUGAACGCACAUAUACUAUGAACACAUAUCAUCGAGGUAAAAAGAUGAAGCAACAGUUCUAGAUCAUUGAACAGUGAAGGAAAAUUGCUCCUCUAAAUUAAUUCCGUGUAGAAAUUAAAAUGUGAAAGAGAAAGUGUUCGACGAAUUGAUUCAAAUAGACUUAAGAGACAAGUGAACAAGCAAGCAAAAGAAGCUUGACAUACAUAUGUGAAAGGAAACGGAAAAAGAGUUAGACCUGAUAUGUUAAGCUCUUUCUGAGCAAGGCAUUGGACUGAGUCCAGAAGCUUGCGGCGGAACGCUCCGGCGCCAUUGAUGUCCAAAAACCAGACUACUACUCCUCUAUAUAUCUUGGCACCAAAUAACCUCAAAUUUAGUCUGUCAAAGAAUUAAAGGAUGAAUAAUUUGAAGCAACCUCUUUAUAUGAAUGAGCAAUAUAUAUAUACACACACUAACGAUCCAAAUCGGUUAUAAAUGGUGUGCUCGUCUUCGCUGCUAUACUGCUAUUCCGAAUUCUUGCUUCUACGUUUCUAUAUGCUUUGGUACUUUGUCAUGACUGUAACUGCUGAAUGUUGUGAACUUCCCAAACUACCCUUUACGCGUUAAAUAAUUAAUUUCACAGGAAAUAAUAUCUACCAAGAGAAUUUAUGAAGCAAUUAAAGAAAUUUUCCUUACCAAGAUUAUGUAUCUUUGUGUUUUUUCCAAUAAUUAAAGACGGAUGAUAUUCUUACGAUCUUAUCAGGUGUUUGAUGAGAAUGAAGAAGGUGAAUCAGGUGAUUAAUUAGAUACUGCCAUACAGGUAUUGACAGCUAAAGCAAACCAAUUAAGUUUAGAUUUUAGAAAAAUACUUCGAAUCAAAAUAGACCACCUAAAGCCAGAAGUUGAAAGAGCCGGCCAGUUUCUAACAAUAUAUAAGGUCAUUGUAUCCAUAGUUGGCUUUGUAACAAUUUUAAGAAAAAGUUUAUGUACAUGGGUCAUAUCAGAGGAUUUGCCACCCUUGAUUCUUGAAUCCAUAUUUGUAAUCGUUGUGAAUUGAGAUACGAGAUUAUAUCAUUCCACCAAAUCCAGCUACAAAUUGGGUUUCAAUCCAAUCUCAUCUAACAAUACACAUAAUUAGUAAGAACUGGAUUAAUUAUUUGUAUUUGGCUACAAAUUGUGUUUUGCUAGUUGUCAUGUUGCUUUCUAUCAUAAUUCUAUAUGUACGUGUAAUUCAUAAAUCACCCUUUUAGCUUAUAUAUCAUUUCUCGCGAACUUAAUUAGAUCAUGUAUAGCCAAUUUCUUAACCAUGUAAGCACAACUAGAAAUCAUAAUAUUUGAUGUGAACGCGUCGUUACAGUCUACUGAAGUUGUUAGUUCAUUGACUUCCAAUUUUUGUAAUUUUUGUGCAAAGUCGAACUUUGGGACUUGCUGCCAUGAGCAUAAUCAGAACCAGAAACUUUGACUAUAAUUAGAGUAGCCUAUAAUUCACGAAUUUGAAAAGAGUGUUCAUAAAUCUCACGAUGAGUCAUGUAUUGCAAAUUACUUAGUAUUUUACCCUUUAAAUGGCAAUUUAGAUUUAAUUAACCUGCCUAAUUGAUCCAUUCAUAAAUGCACCCUCCAUUAUCACAAAUCCUCUUUUACACUACCAAAUCAAACAAACCCCGUUCCAUAUCUCUUUGCCAUUACGGUGAAUACAGAACAAUCAUAGAAAAGAAUCACAAAAGGAAAGAAAUACCCAAGAAUAUUCCUACUCACACAAGGGUAAAUUCGUCAUUCCACCACAAGAAACGAAACGCGCAAAACCGCGCUCUCUGUACGUAAAUAACAGAGGAGAGUGAAGUCUGAAGACCAUCUUCUUCUUCUUCAUGAUCGAGUCCAUCUCUCACUGACUUGUCCAAGAAAUCUCAAUGAAUUCACUCACCGGUUUUCCUCUACUGCUCGAACAAUUUAAGGCUCUGUUCAUCAAGAACCUCCUCCUCGCAUGGCGGAACAAGACCGCCACCUUUCUCCAGCUCUUCUCUUCCCUCUUCUUCAUCCUCCUCAUCUUCUGCUUCCAGAAGGCCGACGACAUUCAGACCAGGUCUUCCUCCGCCUACCAGAGCGUCACGGAUCCUCAGCCGCUCGUUGCGCAGCCGAUCCCGCCCUGCGAGGACAAGUUCUCUAUCAAAAAGCCGUGUUAUGAUUUCGUGUGGAGUGGAGAUCAGAGCUCUAGCAGGAUUCGGAGCAUUGUCAGUGCUAUAAUGGCUAACAAUCCCAACAGGCCAAUUCCCGCAAGCAAGGUAUCACAUGAUUUCUUUUUCGUCAAUGGAACAUGUAUUACAAAAUUCAGGUUAUGUGCUUAUUUUGUCAGGGUAGUCAAUUUGUUGUCUGUGAGAGAUAUAGACAACUGCAUGUAAUACUUUAUUUUUUGUGUGCCGAAAAUAUGGAAGUGGAAGAUAUGUUAUGAUGAUUCUCUUUGACAAAGAAAUCAAAUGAGUUCUUUUUAUAUUUUAGGCUUAAUUUUUUUUUGUUCAGAGAUUUGAGGUGUACAUGACUCAUGACUGUUUCAGGAUUUGCUUCUGAAAUCCAUGAAACUCAAAAUGUAGUGUGACAUAUCACAUAUAUUUGAGGAAGUGUCUAGAGUGAUCAUGUAAUGACUCUAAUUAUGCCUUUGGUUUGCAUAGGUCAAAUCGUUUAGAACCCCAGCUGAAGUGGAUGAAUGGCUGUAUAACAAUCCUUUGUACUGCCCAGGAGCUUUGCAUUUUGUGGAAAGAAACGCCACUGUGAUUAGCUAUGGCCUGCAGACUAAUUCUACUUCUGUUAAAAAACGAGGGCAAACUGAGAAUCCCACAUUCAAGUUUCAAAUUCCACUUCAGAUUGCUGCCGAGCGUGAGAUAGCUAGGUCUCUAAUUGGAGGUAUCAUGUGUAAUUUGUUUCUCACAGUGCUGUGUUCUUUAAAGAAAGCUAUACUUUCAUGUUUUCGCUUGAAUCGUAGCACUGGUAUAAACUGUAUAAUGCUUUAAUUUAUUCAGAUUCGAAACUUAGCUGGGUUGUUGCAUUCAAGGAAUUUGCACAUCCUGCAAUGAUGAAGCCGCCUUCUGCAAUGAAUGACAUAGGACCACGGUUUUUUUUCGCUGCUGCCAUGUUUGGUUUUGUGUUUCAAAUGACUUCCUUGGUCACAGAGAAAGAACUUAAGCUGCGGCAGGUAAUCACUUUAACUUGAUGUAUGGUUCUCUGACUUCUCUCCAUUAGUGGAUUUAAGUGCUUCUUCUGUUUUGGUUGCAGGCGAUGACAAUGAUGGGCCUUUAUGAUAGUGCAUACUGGCUCUCUUGGCUCGCAUGGGAGGGACUGAUUACACUACUCUCAUCUCUUUUCACAGUUCUCUUUGGAAUGAUUUUUCAGUUUAGUUUUUUCUUGCACAACAGCUUUGCAGUCGUAUUCCUUGUCUUCUAUCUUUUCCAACUCAAUAUGGUAGGCCUGUUUCUUGCUAUUACUUUGUUUCUGUUCUUCCAUUGAUUCCCAAUUAGUUAGUUUUGCUGAUUUUGUUCUUUGGCAAAGCCUCAAACUAUAUGAUAAGUUACUGACAUGUAUUCACCUUUCCAUCGAUUGAUGAUAGAUUGGUUUUGCCUUUAUGUUAUCGGCCUUCAUAAAAAAGUCAUCUUCAACCACAACUGUCGGUUUCUCCAUCUAUACUGUUGGCUAUGUAACCCAGGCAAGGCUCCAAAGUUCAAGAUUCUUAAACUCUUUGUUACGAGUUUGUUUCUAUUAAGUAUUAACAGAAUCUAUUUCUCAUAGCAGGUAGCUGCAGACAGCAUCUACUCUAAAGAAGUCUCUAGGACUAAGCGAAACUUGUGGUCUCUAUUCUCACCCAGUCUUCUUUCUCAAGCUCUAUCUAUACUCAAUGAGGCAACAUCCACAUCUAAAAAGACUGGGAUUAGCUGGAGUAGAACGGCAAACUGUAAACCAGGAGAUGAAGAUUGUGUUAUGACAAUUGUAUGUAAACACAUUAAUUUUCAUAUUACCUAUACAUUUCUUUGAUUCCUAACAUAUUCAUUUCAACUUUGAUAGAAUGACAUAUAUGUAUGGCUGACGGCUACAUUCUUCCUCUGGUUGGUAUUGGCUAUCUACUUCGAUAAUAUCAUCCCAAAUGUAUCUGGUGUGAGAAAAUCAGUGUUUUACUUUUUGAAGCCAGGAUACUGGACAGGGAAAAGUGGAAACAAAGUAGAAGGUAAAAAUACUGAAAUUCAGUUUCUGCUCAACUUUCCCUGCUGAGUUGUACUUGUGACUUGAUGCUUUGUUCCUCUCUUUGUUUAGAGGGUGGCAUUUGUAGUUGGAUAGGUUCAAUUCCACCACCUGAGCAUAUUACUCCAGAUGAUGAAGAUGUCCUGGAAGAGGAGAACAUUGUUAAAGAGCAAGCUAAGGAAGGCACAGUUGGUCCAAACCUUGCAGUUCAGAUACGUGGCCUUGUAAAAACAUAUCCUGGCCAAAGACAUGGUUGCUGUCGUUCCAAGAGGACUCCACCAUACCAUGCUCUCAAGGUACAGAACCUCUUUUGAAUCAGAAUGUGGAUCUUUUAUGAACCUAUUGUUUGUGUCGAGGAAAUCUUGUGAAAUAGUCGAAUUACAUUAUUCAUUCAAUGCAUCUUCCUCCAGAGUUUUGUACCUAGACCAUGAGAUCCUCUAGCAUAAUGAUGUUAUGUAUCUAAUUUUGUUGCAUACUAAAAUUUUCAGUAUAUAAUGCAGAUGCACUGCAUAUGUUUGGCUUAGUAGUUUUUAGUAUAUGAAUGUUGAAUGAUGUGAUUGUCAUUCAUCACAUAAAUGCAUAGGCAAAUACCUUCUUUAAGUCAAAAUUAAUGCUGAUGCAGUGCAUAUAUAUAUAUAUAUAUGUUUCGGUAACCAUAUAUUGCUUUGAACAAUGUUCAGGGUUUAUGGGUCAACUUUGCAAAGGAUCAGUUGUUUUGUCUACUUGGACCCAAUGGAGCUGGGAAAACCACAGCAAUAAACUGUUUAACUGGCAUUACACCAGUGACUGGAGGAGAUGGUAAUAGGACCUUUUUCCUUCUUUUUUUUUUUUUCAAAUUCAUCGAUUGAAAACUUCUGGAACGAUGUCUAUACUGGAAAUGAUAAAAUUGUAAUCUGCCUUGAAUAACAGCCUUGAUCUAUGGACAUUCUGCCCGAAGUUCUGUUGGCAUGGCAAACAUUCAAAAAAUGAUUGGAGUUUGUCCACAGGUGUCCUUCUAUCUCAAUGCAAACGCAGUAUUCUGUAUACUUAUAUACACCUAAUUUCAUCGUUUGUACUAUGUUGCAACUUGUAUGAAAUUGGUAAUUAAUUCAAACUUAAGUUUUCGUGUUUGUUAUCUCUAUUGGUAGUUUGAUAUUCUUUGGGAUGCAAUGUCCGGGCAAGAGCAUCUCCACAUCUUCGCUAGUAUCAAAGGCCUACCUCCAGCAUCAAUAAAAUUGGUAUGUGCUACACUAAUUUGAGCAGCAGGGUAUUUGAUAAACUUUUUCCCUUGAAAUUGUAAUGAUGAUGGUGGUUAAAAUCUUUUUGUUCCAUGCAUGCUCAUCUGCUUUGAGAAAGAAUGACUAUGUAUAAGAUGAAUACUGCUUCUCAAAUGUAGGCUACUAUGAAGUCACUGGAAGAGGUGAAACUUACUGAUGCAGCCAAAAUGAGAGCUGGUAGUUACAGUGGAGGAAUGAAGCGUCGCCUGAGUGUUGCAAUAGCCCUCAUUGGUGAUCCGAAGUUAGUUAUCCUAGAUGAACCGGUAAGGACAUUGCAACUUUUCCCUUUGGUUCAUCUACUAGCUUUGUUUACGUAAAUUGGUUUAUGAUCUGCAGACAACCGGUAUGGAUCCAAUAUCUAGAAGGCAUGUAUGGGACAUCAUAGAGGAUGCAAAGAAGGGUCGCGCAAUUGUCCUCACCACUCACUCAAUGGAAGAAGCUGACAUUUUAGGUGACAGAAUAGGAAUCAUGGCAAAGGGUAGGCUGCGCUGUAUUGGAACUUCAAUCAGACUGAAGUCACGAUUUGGGACUGGUUUUGUUGCUAAUGUGAGAUUCAAAGAAAGCACAAAUGGACAAGGGCCUCCAUCUCCAAAUGAGGAUGAAGUUGCAACGUCUCAGCAUGAAGCUGUGAAGCAGUUGUUUAAAUAUGUAAGUUAAGUUUAAAUAACUUGAACUUAUUUUCAGGCACAUAUAAAAUAACUUCUAACAUGGAAGGAGUUUUCUUGCAGCGUUUGGAUGUUUCACCAAAAGAAGAGACCAAAGCAUAUCUCACUUUUGUGAUUCCUCAUAAUAGAGAGGAAAUUUUGUCGGUACAGAACUAUCACUAGUCCUCAACAAGUGAAAUCUCACUCAUGAAGUUGUGAUUCUUACUGUUGAUUCUGCUGGACUGAUAUGUGCCUGAAUCCUCGUGCAGAAUUUUUUCGCGGAACUGCAAGAUCGAGAAGAUGAAUUUGGCAUAGCAGACAUCCAACUUGGACUUGCAACUCUUGAAGAAGUUUUCCUAAACAUAGCAAGGCAAGCAGAGCUGGAGAGUGCCACAGCUGAGCGGAGAAUGGUUACUCUCACAUUAACAUCUGGAGUCUUGGUUCAGGUAAACUCAUGUCUUUCAUUUGACUGAUAUCCUUACUCAUUUCCGUGAGAAAUUUCAUUUUGGUUACUUACUCUUGGCAAUGUGUUACAUUGAUUAUGCAGAUACCUAUAGGAGCUAGGUUUGUUGGGAUCCCAGGAACAGAGUCUCCUGAGAAUCCAAAUGGGCUAAUGGUAGAAGUUUUCUGGGAGCAAGAUGAUUCUGGAGCACUCUGCAUAUCUGGUCACUCGUCUGAAACCCCAAUACCUCCUAAUAUCGCAGUUGAACUACUACCAACUUCAACUUCGCGCCGAAAUUCGCUUGGCCGAUCCAAACCAGUGAAUGGUAUUCUUCUUGACUCUGACCAAAUUACUCAAUCUUUAGGACCAAAUGGCCAUAGGCAAAGGACCUGAUACAUUUCCUUGUAAUUAACAACUAGUUGCCUGUGAGAUUAUGUUCCGCUCCGAGACCCAAAAUUGGGUUUAUCGUUGAGAUUCUUUCUAGUUUCAUCUGAUGCAAAUUUUUCACUAACAGGCAGUGACGUUUCAUUUGAUUUGGAAAGCAUUCAUGUUUCGGUGAUUAUCAUCAACCCCUAAAAACCAUAAAACGUAUUGAGGACCAAAAUUGGGUCAUAGUUCAGAAUCAUGCUAGUCUCGUCUCAAGCAAAUUUUCACUAACAAAACGCUGAGAUCACGUAAGCCAUGCAAAUACCCUACACCCUAAAAAGAUGCAAAGUUCUCACUAACAAAAUGCUGAGAUCUGGAAAGCCUAUACAUGCUAGCAUAUUUCAGUGAUUAUCAACAACCCUAAACCCUAAAGAUUGUUAUAGGGCCCAAUUGGGCCAUGCAAUGGCAGCCCAGUACAUUAUUCAAAAAGUUGAACAAAGACUGUUCAACCACUCUGCGUUAAAGUCUUAAAAGAAAUUACACUAAUCAACAUCUUGGAUGGAGCAAUUGACAAGGAUUUUUCAUUAUGAUAAUAAUUAUUUAUAGGCCCCAAUUCACAAAGCAAAGGUUCGUGUAGGUAUCAACUCGAUUUAAAAAUCUACAAGUCCUGAUCUAGAGUAAAGAUAGCUAUCUCUAUGCAAAAGAUCUGAAACCACCACAGAUUUUGAUUCAUCCAGACUACCCUAGAGAUCUGAUAUUAGUUGAAGAUCUUCAAUCCCCAUAUACUUCAUAUGUGCAUGAACACAGGGAGAUCAUAUUGACAAAGAGAAGGGAAGGUUGACCUAGAUCUGCAAACCAAGCAAAGCAAAAGCAUCAUACAUGUAACAAACACGAUAAGAUAGAUGAAAUACAGAACAAGGAUUUAUAGAAACGCAUGGUUCACAAACGGAGCUAAAAGAUUCAGAGUAGCUAGAAAGCUUGAUAGAUAUGCUGAAACUGAAAUACUACUAGCUAGAGAGAUAAGUAGAUCUAGUUAAGAGACAGAUAAGCCAAGGUGUAGAGCUCCCUUCAAUCCAAAACAUGAUGCAACUCAGGUAAUGCAGCUCCUGAGGUAUGCAAGCCACAAGCCUAUCAUCUUUAUCAAAAAACAGAGAUAGAAGUGUGGAAUUCAUAGCUCAGCAGCUCAAUCAACCUAGCAACAUCUUCUAUUGGACUUCAAGGAGCUCCACUCCAUAACCCUAGCUAAAACCCUAACACCAGUUAUUCACAACAUCGAAACAGAUCAAGAGAGAGAGAGUGAAACAGAUCAAACCCUUGAUGAAAGCUUUCAAACCCAACCUGGGUUUUCCACCAAAACCCUAGAGAAAGAACCAGAGCUAAAGAGCUACAUAAACUAGGGUAAAACCUAGCUACCAUUCAACCAUACUGUAGAAGAGAACAAUAUUAUAUAAAAAAGGAUUCUAUCUAUAUCUACGGAAGCCAAGGAUGAAGAGCAAGUUUGGCUUCUGGUUUGUUAGCGCUAAAAGCUGAGAAUGAUGGAGAGAGCUUGGUGGAGGGGGCAAAGUUAUAUAGUAGUUUUGGAUAGCAAACAAGGAGUAAUGGUGGGAUGUGGAUGGGUCGGCAAGGCAAGUAUUGGGAACCGCCCCUCUCUCUUCUCUAUAAUUAAGAUUCCCUGCGCAUAAUCACGUGCCUUGUUUAUUUUCCUCACGAUACUCGAUGAUUAUGGACACCACCAAUUUAUCGUCCUUUUUUAAAUUUGAAUUCACCACCGGACUCCAGAACCGUUAAAUACGAGAUAUCGUGAGAAGUUGAGAUGGGGAAAAUGGCGGGAGUGAAGGAGGAAAAAAGAGAAAAAAAGUUCGGUGAUACACGUGGCGCGCGAUGACGAAAAGACUUGGGGUGAAUGAAUGGUAGUUGUUGAAUUCUUCGAUUAGACAAAAGCGACGUUGAUGUGACAUCACAGCUCAGCCUGGUGGGACCGACCACGCUAUUGGCGAUAUGCGCACUUUAGUUCGGCCAUGUGUUAUUCUUUCGGUGGUGAGCAGCGCUCGUGCUAACGUGCGCACCGGGUUCGUAUUAGCCGCGGGAUAUCAGACUUGACAUUAUCCGGUAAGAUGCGGCCACGUAGCCCUAAUGAUGAUGAGGGAUGGGACCUCAAAAUCUAGGGUAGAUCUCCGGCUGUUUGCUUUUGUAGCUAUCCUCUUGGGCUCUCUUGCCUUUUUGCUUCUUUUGGGGUUUUGGAAAUAUGUGAUGGGCCAUUCCACAUGACAAUUCUGAGCCACGGUGCUAUUGAUGAACUGGGCCAAGGCCCAUACCGCAGUCCAACUGAGGCCCUUCAAAGUUGUAUUAUGUAACAUAAUACAACUUUGAAGAUAUUGAUUGUUUGGCAUAAAUCGACAUUAGCAUUACUCAAGUCUUGCAUUAAGUAGAUUAAGUUCCUAAGUAAAAUGUGUAUUGUAAUCAACUAAAACAUAGAUACGAGCCAAUAAUGUCCUCAAGUUCUUUUUAACGUUGUAAAGUUUCUUGAACAUGAUUUCUUACCUAGUUGCUGAAUGCUGACCCUGUGAACUUGCUCGUUAAUCUUAAAAGAGAAAAACACAAAAUAAAUCAAGGCCCGAGAAAUGUUGUAACGUUGGGCUCUAAAACGAUGUAAACCCAAAGUGAAACUGGGCCGCUGGUUACGUGUUCACACUUGACACAAAUAUGAUAAUCACUGAAGCAGAUGCCGCAUACCACUUUUCUUUCCUCAAGCCGAAACCAUCACACACACAUACAAAUUGCACACCACCAUCUGUAAGCUAAUAGUAGAUUCCAGAACACCCAGUGCUCACCUCUCUCGCUCCAUUCGCUUCGCUGUAAUCUUCGUCCUCAUCAAAACCCUAGCUCUCCGUACACACGCUUCCUCAAUCUCUUAGCCAUGGGUAAGCUUCUACUCGCUUCUUCGCUUUUUCUUUCUCUCAAUUAUAAUUUCUCUUAAUUUCAUUUGUAUCUGUGUGUGUGUAACUCCGGUAGAUCUAUAUUUGGUUGAAGACGAUCAUCCAUUGAUUGUAUUAGCUCCGAUUUGAAUUGCCACGGCUUAAUUCGUCUGCGCGUUAUCGAAUAUUUUUUUAUUAAUUUCAUCUAUUUUUACUAGGAGUUUGCCUUAGUUUCACUAGGUCAAUUAUGAUUUACUAGAAUUAGUGUUCACUGUUUGGUUUCGGUAGCCGAAAAAUUAGUAUGAAAAAUCGAGUAUGAUGUUUACUGCACAGUAUCUCUACUUUGGCUGUUUAUGUGAUAAUUUACCUUAUUUACUUAUCUGUCGUGUGAACAAUAACUGAUAUUAAGACUAUUGAACUCUUCUGAUACGCCUUAUGAGUGAAAUUCGGGGAUUUGGUUACGGUGAAUUCGAGAAUUGAUUUUUUUUGUUUUACAUGUAUGAACCUUUGUAAAUGAUAGAUAUUGAGGAGGAAAUCCGGUCGCUGCAGCUGGAUUCAGCAGGUAAUUCUGAGAGGAUUGGAUUUUGUUUGUCAAUGUUUAGUAUGUGACGGCUGGUUUGUGGUUAAUUUUUAACGUGUGAGACAAUGCGUUGUUUUAAUCAAGCAGAAGAUAAUGGGGAUGUAAAUCCAGAAGCUGCAAAUCUGGAUGUCGAGAAGUCGGAUGAUAAGAUGGAGGAAGGUGAUGAUAAGAUGGAGGAAGGUGAUGGUAAGAUGGAGGAAGGUUGGUAGUAUCCUUGGGUUUGGGUUUUACUUUACUGUUGGUGUGGAGAUGCCUGUGUUUGAUAAAAUGGAGGAAGGUUGGUACUCAGUAGUAUCAACCUGUUAUCCCCACA